UUGUUUCUUUGGGUUUUUUUUUUUAUAUGUAAGGGGUUGUUUGGGGUAAUUAGGAGCACCAAACACGUACUUAGCAUUUAACACACGCUAAUGACGCUAUCUACUCGAUACUUACAACAAUUUUGAGCUCCAUAAGCAAUCCGAAUAUUUUCUUUCCGAUUGUCUCUGCUCUCUUUAGAAGCCAAAUCAAAUCCCCAAUCCCCAGAAAUUUAAGUGCUGGUUCUUCAUCUGGGUCGUUGUAAUUCUGGUUUUUGAAGGGUUUGGGGAGAUUUGGUGAGGGCACAGAGAUGGACAAGAGGAACCUCCACCACCAUAACCAGAGUGGGAGAAGAUCAUGUAAGGCUUGUUGUUUCACGUUCUCCUGCUUGUUUAGAGGGGCUGGGAGAUGCUUGUUUGUCACAUUUUACCCUGUCUUGCAGUGCUUUGGAUGCGAUGACUAUAGGCACCAACAUCACCACCACAGACAUUUUGAUUGAUCCCUCCCUCCUUAUUCUUUGUUGCUUAUGGUUUUGAUUGAUGUAAACACAUUCCAAUUCAUCUUCUAUGUUUUCUUUUGCUGUUCUUAGAUGAUGGUUAGGUCCAAUUGGAUUGUCAGGUGAUGAAGAAACUACUUGUUUAUAAGCCAAGUGGAGCAAAAAGUAAAAUCAAGUUCUGUUGAAGUAAUGCUGAAUAUCCAUUGUGGGAAAGACAAAGUUUCCAGAAAUUUUAUUUCAGAUGAAAAGGAAAAAAAAGAUUUGAGUGGU